AAAAUAGGUGUAAAAUGAAUUAUUUUGUCAUAAAAGCAUUGUUGCAAUUAAUUAUUUUGUUGUCUAAAAAGAGUUUUAGCAAUGAGUUGUUAUGUUGUCUUAAAAGAGUUGUUACAAUGAAUUGUUAUGUGGUCCUAGAAAAGUUGUAGCAGUAUAUUGUUAUGUGAUCUUAACAGAUUUGUAAUAAUGAAUUGUUAUGUUGUCUUAACAGAGUUGUAACAAUGAAUUGUUAUGUGAUCUUAACAGAGUUGUAACAAUGAAUUGUUAUGUUGUCUUAACAGAGUUGUAACAAUGAAUUGUUAUGUUGUCUUAACAGAGUUGUAACAAUGAAUUGUUAUGUGAUCUUAACAGAUUUGUAAUAAUGAAUUGCUAUGUGAUCUUAACAGAGUUGUAACAAUGAAUUGUUAUGUUGUCUUAACAGAGUUGUAACAAUGAAUUGUUA
rnacentral:lncRNA from 1 species